GACGAACGCUGGCGGCGUGCUUAACACAUGCAAGUCGAACGGGAAGGCCCUGCUUUUGUGGGGUGCUCGAGUGGCGAACGGGUGGGUAACACGUGAGUAACCUGCCCUUGACUUUGGGAUAACUUCAGGAAACUGGGGCUAAUACCGGAUAGGAGCUCCUGCUGCAUGGUGGGGGUUGGAAAGUUUCGGCGGUUGGGGAUGGACUCGCGGCUUAUCAGCUUGUUGGUGGGGUAGUGGCUUACCAAGGCUUUGACGGGUAGCCGGCCUGAGAGGGUGACCGGCCACAUUGGGACUGAGAUACGGCCCAGACUCCUACGGGAGGCAGCAGUGGGGAAUAUUGCACAAUGGGCGGAAGCCUGAUGCAGCAACGCCGCGUGCGGGAUGACGGCCUUCGGGUUGUAAACCGCUUCCGCCUGUGACGAAGCGUGAGUGACGGUAAUGGGUAAAGAAGCACCGGCUAACUACGUGCCAGCAGCCGCGGUGAUACGUAGGGUGCGAGCGUUGUCCGGAUUUAUUGGGCGUAAAGGGCUCGUAGGUGGUUGAUCGCGUCGGAAGUGUAAUCUUGGGGCUUAACCCUGAGCGUGCUUUCGAUACGGGUUGACUUGAGGAAGGUAGGGGAGAAUGGAAUUCCUGGUGGAGCGGUGGAAUGCGCAGAUAUCAGGAGGAACACCAGUGGCGAAGGCGGUUCUCUGGGCCUUUCCUGACGCUGAGGAGCGAAAGCGUGGGGAGCGAACAGGCUUAGAUACCCUGGUAGUCCACGCUGUAAACGGUGGGUACUAGGUGUGGGGUCCAUUCCACGGGUUCCGUGCCGUAGCUAACGCUUUAAGUACCCCGCCUGGGGAGUACGGCCGCAAGGCUAAAACUCAAAGGAAUUGACGGGGCCCCGCACAAGCGGCGGAGCAUGCGGAUUAAUUCGAUGCAACGCGUAGAACCUUACCUGGGUUUGACAUGGAUCGGGAGUGCUCAGAGAUGGGUGUGCCUCUUUUGGGGUCGGUUCACAGGUGGUGCAUGGCUGUCGUCAGCUCGUGUCGUGAGAUGUUGGGUUAAGUCCCGCAACGAGCGCAACCCUUGUUCACUGUUGCCAGCACGUUAUGGUGGGGACUCAGUGGAGACCGCCGGGGUCAACUCGGAGGAAGGUGGGGAUGACGUCAAGUCAUCAUGCCCCUUAUGUCCAGGGCUUCACGCAUGCUACAAUGGCUGGUACAGAGAGUGGCGAGCCUGUGAGGGUGAGCGAAUCUCGGAAAGCCGGUCUCAGUUCGGAUUGGGGUCUGCAACUCGACCUCAUGAAGUCGGAGUCGCUAGUAAUCGCAGAUCAGCAACGCUGCGGUGAAUACGUUCCCGGGGCU
rnacentral:rRNA from 1 species